rnacentral:rRNA from 1 species
UACGUAGGGUGCAAGCGUUGUCCGGAAUUAUUGGGCGUAAAGAGCUCGUAGGCGGUCUGUCGCGUCUGCUGUGAAAACCUAGGGCUUAACUCUGGGCGUGCAGUGGGUACGGGCAGGCUAGAGUGCGGUAGGGGAGUGUGGAAUUCCCGGUGUAGCGGUGAAAUGCGCAGAUAUCGGGAGGAACACCAGUAGCGAAGGCGGCACUCUGGGCCGGUACUGACGCUGAGGAGCGAAAGCGUGGGGAGCGAACAGG